AAGACCAUAGCUCAGUGGGAAAGCAUCUGCUUUGCAUGCAGAACAUCCGAAGUUCAAUCCCCAAUGGCAUUU
rnacentral:tRNA from 1 species